GAUGAACGCUGGCGGCGUGCCUAAUACAUGCAAGUCGAGCGAACAGAUGAGGAGCUUGCUCCUCUGACGUUAGCGGCGGACGGGUGAGUAACACGUGGAUAACCUACCUAUAAGACUGGGAUAACUUCGGGAAACCGGAGCUAAUACCGGAUAAUAUAUUGAACCGCAUGGUUCAAUAGUGAAAGACGGUUUUGCUGUCACUUAUAGAUGGAUCCGCGCCGCAUUGGCUAGUUGGUAAGGUAACGGCUUACCAAGGCAACGAUGCGUAGCCGACCUGAGAGGGUGAUCGGCCACACUGGAACUGAGACACGGUCCAGACUCCUACGGGAGGCAGCAGUAGGGAAUCUUCCGCAAUGGGCGAAAGCUUGACGGAGCAACGCCGCGUGAGUGAUAAAGGUCUUCGGAUCGUAAAACUCUGUUAUUAGGGAAGAACAAAUGUGUAAGUAACUAUGCACGUCUUGACGGUACCUAAUCAGAAAGCCACGGCUAACUACGUG
rnacentral:rRNA from 1 species